AUGUUCUCUGUAGCUCUGAUACUGCUGCUGGCAGCUGGAUCCUGUGUUGAUGGUCAGACUCUGACAGAAUCUGAACCAGCAGUUAAAAGUCCUGGAGGAUCUCACAGAUUGACCUGUACAGCCUCUGGACUUGACAUUAGUAGCUCUUGGAUGGCCUGGAUCAGACAGGCUCCUGGAAAAGGACUGGAGUGGGUUGCAACUAUUGAAUAUGAUAGUGAUCGUAUCUUCUACUCUCAGUCAGUCAGAGGGCGGUUUACCAUCUCCAGAGACAACAGCAGACAGCAGCUGUAUCUGCAGAUGAACAGUCUGAAAACUGAAGAUUCUGCUGUUUAUUAUUGUGCUCGAGAGCCACAGUGACUGGAGUUGGUUCAGCAGCUGUACAAAAACCUACAGUCCUCAUUCUUACUGGGCUGAUAGAACAUGAAGUGUUUCUCAUUAAUUGCUGUGAUUAUAUAUUUUGUGUUUAUGUUUGUUUGAAAAUGUCUUGUAUUCAAUUAUUUUCUCUAUUGUUAUGAAUUAUUUGACACAUCAUAAAAACACAUAAAGAAACACACAAUAAGGAUUCCUCAUUCAUAAAAGUUUCAAAAAGAAAGAAAGAAUAGCAAUUUGAUUGUUAAACUGAAACUAUUAGAAAUUCUUUUCAUUUCUAAUUUCACAUCAAGACACAGUGUGUGUUAAUAAUGUGAAAAAUAAAAAAUAAAGUUGGAUUUAUCGUAUCAGGACACAGUGUGAUUCUGACAUAUGUUUAGUGACUGAUCACGCUAUUUAUAGACCUAAAGUGUCCACUAUUAUUGUCACCUUCACUCUGCUGGUCGAGGAAAAGCAUUCAGUAGUUGAUAUAU